rnacentral:rRNA from 1 species
GACGAACGCUGGCGGCGUGCUUAACACAUGCAAGUCGAACGAAGAGCGAUGGAAGCUUGCUUCUAUCAAUCGUAGUGGCGCACGGGUGAGUAACGCGUAAUCAACCUGCCCUUCAGAUGGGGACAACAGUUGGAAAAGACUGCUAAUACCGCAUACGAUCUAAUCUCGGCAUCCAGGAAAUAUGAAAGCUUGCCUCUAUUUAUAAGCUAUCACUGAAGGAGGGGAUUGCGUCUGAUUAGCUAGUUGGAGGGGUAACGGCCCACCAAGGCGAUGAUCAGUAGCCGGUCUGAGAGGAUGAACGGCCACAUUGGGACUGAGAACCGGCCCAGAAUCCUACGGGAGGCAGCAGUGGGGAAUCUUCCGCAAUGGACGAAAGUCUGACGGAGCAACGACGCGUGAGUGAUGACGGCCUUCGGGUUGUAAAGCUCUGUUAAUCGGGACGAAAGGCCUUCUUGCGAACAGUUAGAAGGAUUGACGGUACCGGAAUAGAAAGCCACGGCUAACUACGUG